rnacentral:rRNA from 1 species
UACGAAGGGUGCAAGCGUUACUCGGAAUUACUGGGCGUAAAGCGUGCGUAGGCGGUUUGUUAAGUCUGUCGUGAAAGCCCCGGGCUCAACCUGGGAAUGGCGAUGGAAACUGGCGAGCUAGAGUACGGUAGAGGAGAGUGGAAUUCCCCGGUGUAGCAGUGAAAUGCGUAGAGAUCGGGAGGAACACCAGUGGCGAAGGCGAAUCCCUGGAAAAUACCUGACACUGAGGCACGAAAGCUAGGGGAGCAAACAGG